GAUGAACGCUGGCGGCGUGCCUAAUACAUGCAAGUCGAGCGAACAGAUGAGGAGCUUGCUCCUCUGACGUUAGCGGCGGACGGGUGAGUAACACGUGGAUAACCUACCUAUAAGACUGGGAUAACUUCGGGAAACCGGAGCUAAUACCGGAUAAUAUAUUGAACCGCAUGGUUCAAUAGUGAAAGACGGUUUUGCUGUCACUUAUAGAUGGAUCCGCGCCGCAUUAGCUAGUUGGUAAGGUAACGGCUUACCAAGGCAACGAUGCGUAGCCGACCUGAGAGGGUGAUCGGCCACACUGGAACUGAGACACGGUCCAGACUCCUACGGGAGGCAGCAAUAGGGAAUCUUCCGCAAUGGGCGAAAGCCCGACGGAGCAACGCCGCGUGAGUGAUGAAGGUCUUCGGAUCGUAAAACUCUGUUAUUAGGGAAGAACAAAUGUGUAAGUAACUAUGCACGUCUUGACGGUACCUAACCAGAAAGCCACGGCUAACUACGUG
rnacentral:rRNA from 1 species